rnacentral:rRNA from 1 species
CACGUAGGCGGUUUGUUAAGUCGGAUGUGAAAGCCCCGGGCUCAACCUGGGAACUGCAUUCGAUACUGGCAGGCUGGAGUAUGGUAGAGGGAAGUGGAAUUCCGGGUGUAGCGGUGAAAUGCGUAGAUAUCCGGAGGAACAUCAGUGGCGAAGGCGGCUUCCUGGACCAAUACUGACGCUGAGGUGCGAAAGCGUGGGGAGCAAACA